GUUGAUCCUGCCGGACCCGACUGCUAUCGGGGUGAGACUAAGCCAUGCGAGUUGUACGACCCUCGGGCAUGGGAGGGGCGUGGCGCACGGCUCAGUAAUACGCAGUCAACCUGCCCUCAGGACGCGCAUAACCUCGGGAAACUGAGGCUAAUGCGCGAUAGGCUAGGGCCUCUGGAAGGAGCUCUAGCCCAAAGGGCCCGACAACCAUCCUUGUCGGGUCGCCUGAGGAUGGGACUGCGGCCGAUCAGGUAGUUGGUGGGGUAAAGGCCCACCAAGCCUAUAACCGGUACGGGCUCUGGGAGGAGGAGCCCGGAGAUGGACCCUGAGACAAGGGUCCAGGCCCUACGGGGCGCAGCAGGCGCGAAACCUGCGCAAUGGGCGAAAGCCCGACGCGGUCACCCCGAGUGCCUCCCGCUGAGGGAGGCUUUUCCCUGCUGUAAACAGGCAGGGGAAUAAGGGGAGGGCAAGUCUGGUGUCAGCCGCCGCGGUAAUACCAGCUCCCCGAGUGGUCGGGACGAUUAUUGGGCCUAAAGCAUCCGUAGCCGGUCCCGUAAGUCCCCUGUUAAAUCCAACGGCUCAACCGUUGGGCUGCAGGGGAUACUGCGGGACUAGGGGGCGGGAGAGGCCGCCGGUAUUCCCGGGGUAGGGGUAAAAUCCUCUGAUCCCGGGAGGACCACCAGUGGCGAAGGCGGGCGGCCAGAACGCGCCCGACGGUGAGGGAUGAAAGCUGGGGGAGCGAACCGGAUUAGAUACCCGGGUAGUCCCAGCCGUAAACGAUGCAGGCUAGGCUUUGGGCCAACUUCGUGUUGGCCCAGGGCCGCAGGGAAGCCGGUAAGCCUGCCGCCUGGGGAGUACGGCCGCAAGGCUGAAACUUAAAGGAAUUGGCGGGGGGGCACCACAAGGCGUGAAGCCUGCGGUUUAAUUGGAGUCAGCGCCGGGAAUCUUACCGGGGGAGACAGCAGGAUGAAGGUCAGGCUGAAGACCUUACCAGACAAGCUGAGAGGUGGUGCAUGGCCGUCGCCAGCUCGUGCCGUGAGGUGUCCUGUUAAGUCAGGCAACGAGCGAGACCCGCGCCCUUAGUUGCCUCCCUAUGCGAAAGUAUAGGGAGGGAAACUAAGGGGACUGCCGCCGCUAAGGCGGAGGAAGGAGCGGGCUACGGCAGGUCAGUAUGCCCCGAAACCCCCGGGCCACACGCGGGCUGCAAUGGUGGGGACAACGGGUUCCGACCCCGAAAGGGGGAGGUAAUCCCAAAACCCCACCCCAGUUGUGAUUGAGGGCUGAAACUCGCCCUCAUGAACCUGGAAUGCCUAGUAACCGCGCGUUAUCAUCGCGCGGUGAAUACGUCCCUGCCCCUUGCACACACCGCCCGUCGAGCCACCCGAGUUAGGUCUUGGUGAGGUGCCGCCCUGUUGGUGGCAUCGAACCAGGGCCUAGCGAGGGGGGCUAAGUCGUAACAAGGUUGCCGUACGGGAACGUGCGGCAGGAUCACCUCCUU
rnacentral:rRNA from 1 species